AUAAACGCUGGCGGCGUGCUUCAGGCAUGCAAGUCGAACGAGCAACCCGGUUCGCCGGGGAGCGAGUGGCGGACGGGUGAGUAACACGUAAGCAACCUGCCCAGAAGUGUGGAAUAACCCACCGAAAGGUGAGCUAAUACCGCAUGUGAUGUCUCUUCCCUGGAGGAGCCAUUAAAGGCGAAAGUCGCUUCUGGAGGGGCUUGCGGCUGAUUAGCUAGUUGGUGGGGUAAUGGCCUACCAAGGCUACGAUCGGUAGCUGGUCUGAGAGGACGGACAGCCACACGGGGACUGAGAUACGGCCCCGACUCCUACGGGAGGCAGCAGCUAGGAAUCUUGGGAAUGGGCGAAAGCCUGACCCAGCAACGCCGCGUGGGCGAUGAAGGCCUUCGGGUCGUAAAGCCCUUUUGCAGGGGACGAUAAUGACGGUACCCUGCGAAUAAGCCACGGCUAACUACGU
rnacentral:rRNA from 1 species